GCAGGAGGAAGAAGAGGAGUUGGGCGAACUGAGGCAGAAACUUGCGUCAGCUGAGAAACAAGCGUCGCAAGUGCCUCGGCUGAAAGAAGAGAACCGAGCUCUUGGGAAGCAGGUUUCACAGUUAGAGAACGAGCUGGACGAGCUGUCGAAUCAGCUGCACCGAUCACAACAGGAAACAGACCGCCAGCUGAGCG